UAUAUAUAUUGAGCAUACGCCGCAUAGGCCGUAUCAGGCAACGGACGGCUGCUGCUUGAGGGCAAAUCCCCAAGCAACACUUAAGGCAUAAAUCCGAACUCAAUCACGCAACAAGGUAGCACACGGCCCAUCCACAUUCACAUGCACAUUCCCGUUCACAAUCAGGAUUAAAAGUCUUCGAAUCAGAUAGUGGCAGUCGACCAGACCAGAGCGACAGAGAUAAACGAUGCUGUGCCAGCGCCAGGCCGGGCCGGAGUGAGUGCCUCUGAUAGCAUUGCGGUAAUCAUCAUCAGAGCAUCAUCAGCAUUAUCUCAGGCUCUGUGCGUGUGUUUGGGUGCUGCCCCUCUGCCCGCUGCCAAAGAAUGUUGAUUUAGUUUGCGGCCAAGACCUGAGCAUUGUAAACAUGCCAAGACACCCCUCGACGACGGCCAGAUACUCAAUGACAUUUCGAGCCUGAUUCAAGGACGCGCACAGCAGCAAGUCCUGCGAAGGCCAAAAAUUAAGACUCGCCUCCAACUCGAACUCGCUAACAAUUUGCUUCGUCUUCUGAUUUUGAGUUUUUUUUGUUUGCUUGAAGGGCACGGAAAAGUGAGCAGCUGCGUAUCGUCAACAUGGCAAGACGAAACGAUUAAU